GAUGAAGAACGUAGCAAAAUGCGAUAAGUAAUGUGAAUUGCAGAAUUCAGUGAAUCAUCGAAUCUUUGAACGCACAUUGCGCCCGCCAGUAUUCUGGCGGGCAUGCCUGUUCGAGCGUCAUUUCAACUCUCAAGCACAGCUUGGUGUUGGGACUCGCGUUAAUUCGCGUUCCUCAAAUUGAUUGGCGGUCACGUCGAGCUUCCAUAGCGUAGUAGUAAAACCCUCGUUACUGGUAAUCGUCGCGGCCACGCCGUUAAACCCCAACUUCUGAAUGUUGACCUCGGAUCAGGUAGGAAUACCCGCUGAACUUAAGCAUAUCAAUAAGCGGAGGA
rnacentral:misc_RNA from 1 species